rnacentral:lncRNA from 1 species
AUGCCCUAGAGCAAGUUCCCCGCAGCUGAAGGGGCAGCGAAGGAAGAGCCGAAGUGAAGACUGGUGAGGUUAUCAGCUAAAACCGCCCCUACAAAAGUGAAAACAAAUCCAAAACAGGCAGCAGGAAAGGAUAAAUCUUCACACAAACAAAUGAAAAAAUGCAAAGAAAAGUAUAAGACAAACAGGCCAAAGUAGCUGCCCCAGAAAGUAAAGAUUUUCCUGCAGAAAAUGGAGAAACUGAAAAUAAGGAGAGUCCAGCCUCUGCUGAAGCAGGAGAGAAAGAAGCCAAGU